CUAUGAGACUGUGCUUCUAGCCAAUACCUAAACAGAAAGUAAAAAGUUUCUCUGUUACCAAAGUUUGAGAACUGUUUCUUCAACUUCAUUGUUUAGAAGUCAUCACCAAUUCCUCAGUGAGGAGUGGCUAGAGACUAGUCUCUUUUAUUACCAGUUUUAUACAAUGUGGCUUUCCUCAUAGAAUGUGGAUUCUAUCUAGUUCUGUGAGCCUCUCUGGUUUUGUGAUUAAAGAACACAUCUGGGUAUUCUCAUGUGUAGGUACUUAGACAAAUGGGUCAUACCAGAUUUUAUGAGUCAAGAUUCUGAUGUUUCUCCAAGGGAAAAAACAGGUUAACUGACAACACGGCAGCAAAGAAGCGAGAGAGUAUGAGAGAAUGUCAGCAACAGAGACAAAGCUGGCAGGAUGGAGGUCAGACUCUUCUGUAACCUCAACAUGGAAAUGACACCCCAUCAUCUGCACUCUAUUAUUUUUGUUAGAAGCGAGUCACCAGGUCCCGUUUAUACUCAUGGGAAGGGGAUUACUCAAGGGUGUGGGUGGCAGGAGGUGGGGAUCCCUGGGAACCCUAUCAGAAGCUGCCUACCAUGUCUAUAUAAAGUAAUAUUUGAGAUCCAAGUGCUGAUCCAGUACAGAAAAACUCUCCAACCAUUUUUGCCACCUAUAACUUUGCAGUUAGGAACGUCCACAGGAAUAUUAGAACUGUUUCCCUUUGAUAGAAGGCCAUAUGUCAGUGGAGGUGUUUUUGGCGCUUACUAAUGCACUCAGUAACUUGAUUUGAAAAGAGAACUGUGCAAUACUGUAUAAUUUCAAACACUUUCCUAGCAAAAAUAUAUUACCUUUAAUUAGGCUGAUUUAAAGCUGUUAAGAUUCUUGUCAGAAAUAAUUUUUAAGUGGAUGUGUCAAGAUGAAAACAGCAGUUGUCAAGUGAAGAAAGCGGUAAUUUGUGUGUGUGCUGUCUGGCUUAUGAGAAAUUGGGUCUUUAAAUACCAACCAAGCAUUCCUGCUAACAAUUUCUUUUAUAGAAGCCAUUCUGGCAGUUUGGGAUUCAAAAUGUUGGAAUGCUAUUGUUUGUGGUAAAUAUUUGUCCUAUGACUAGGGAAUUAAAUUUAGUUCCUACCCUGUAAUAUAGACAAAAGCAUCUCUAAGAAGAGAAAGCAUUUAAGCAAUUAAAUUCACCAAGUGGUCAAACACAUAGCAUGAGCAAAGCAUUCUGGGUGAUUACAGAGUGGAAUAAUAAUAACAAUAAUGAAGACCACUCUUAGAUGAAAGCAAAUCAGGUGACUUUAAGCACUCGAAAAAGCUUGAAUUCUACUUGCAGUCUUUUUAGGCUACUAAUUUCUUUAGCAAGCUUUUGUUAUUGGGCAGUGAAAAGGAGGGCUUUUGCUUGACCUCUAUGGUAGGGUUUCUUAGUAGUGGCACUGUUGACAUUUUGGGUCACGUAAUUCUUUGUUGUGGGGGGGCUGUCCUAUGCACUGUAAGAUGUUUAGCAGCAUUCCUGGCUUCCCAGGAUGCCAAUAGCUUUGCUCCUCUCAUCCCAGUUGUGACGUUGAAAUAUGUGUGCAGACGUUGCCGGAUGUACCUGGAGGUAGAGAGAGGGGGGGAAAAAAUCACCACACUAUGGCAAUUACCACAGCUUUUGAAUCAGGGAAUUCUAAAUUAACACGAGGUAACAUUAUCUUACUUUUAUCCAUUGCAUUUAUAAAUAUUUUGUCUUUUCUCUUGGUCCUCAAAAGCAAAAUUCCAUAUGCUAUAUAAAAGAUAAUUCAUUCUCCUAGUCAUUGAGCCAGUGAACAUUCACUGAGUGCUUACUGCAUGCAAUCAACUUUCCCCAGGCAUUGCAAAGAAUACAGAAAAAAGUAGGUUUUUGUCCUCAAGAAGCUUGAGAUCUCGGAGGAGGUAGAGAAGGGAUUUAGGUCGUGUAUAUACAUGACUAUCAAGCAAGUAGGAAGAACUAAAUUCAAAUAAAGAAAGAGGUAAAAUUUAUUGAGAGGAACUUUUACUUUUCCCUUGCAGACCAGCGGUGAUUUAGAAGUUUAUCCCUGAGCUGGGAUUCUGGAAUCAGAGUUUAAUAGAGCAAGGUUAACCUAAGUUUUGGGGUAUGAGAGUAGAUUUGGAAUUGGAGCUAGACCUCUGGAACAAAACAUCAAAUCAAUGGGGGUAGGCAGAGAGAUAGAAACCCAGUCUGAAGCCAAAGGUUCUCAACCAGAAAUGGCAAGAUGGAGGGUGCAUGUUCAAGAGGACCAAAAAGCGGGGGAGCCUGGAAAAGGUUGCUGAAACACUGACAAACAGCCCCUGGUCCAUUUUGUAGGAAACUGCUAAUGAGCUCAGGUGCAAUCACAGCUGUAGGAGCACUAAACUGAUUUAAUGGGUGGGAGGCCUUCCAGUGGGACCAGAAUUAUUCUUCUCUUACCCAUGGUGCCCAGGAACUCAGCAGUGGUGUAUGGAAAGCAAUUCCAAGCCAUACACAGGCAAUGGAAGAUGAGAUAUCAGAGGGUCCUGCUUCCAAGUACCUCCCACUGGCCAGCCCUGUGCCCAACAUCUCCACCAUUAGGGCUUUGUCAUUUGGGUGAGUCUUCUGAAAAAGCAAACAUUCUCCCCAAAAUGGUGUUAUUAUCCAUGAACUCGUGGUGUUAUAAUUUUCGAAGUAUAUUCCAAAGACUCUUAAUAGGUAUUACCUUGAAGAGUUUAAUCAACCAAUUAGUUUCUGAAGUGCCUGGUAAAAGAAAUUAAACACAUUUUUUUACUGCAGAAUUUAUAAGAACCUUUAAGAUACAUCAUCAAUCUCAAAUGGAGGGUUAUACUGUGAAACACUUCCAAAAUUUAUUUGAAUACAAAGCCAUUUUAUCGUGUAACAUCUCAUGAGAACAUGGUGUAUGCUACAUGCUUUGUGUAACCCUGCGUGGUUGUGAAAUGAGUGGCUGUUGCCAACUGUCUGGACUUUAAGUGAAUGGGGUAUAGCAGGAAAAAUAUAUCAACAUGUGCAUAUUCACAGACCUCUCCCUCCACACCUGCUAAAGGAAAACUUGACUUUGCCAGUUUGGUUCCACCGCAUUUCUUGCCCCACCAAAUAGAGUUCUGUCUUGAUCACCAGUUUCAUGGUCUUUAUUAUACAUCACUGUAAAUGGUGAAGUCUGGAGAUGCUGGCUAAUUACUCUAAAGAGCAGAUGAUAGGAGAAAAAUAACGGAAAUAUUAAGGGGGGAAUGAAAAGUAGGGCAGGUUUGGAGAGCAGUCGUUGGUGGAGUAGGGCAGGUAACUGACUCUGAGAGCUGCCUUUGUGCAUCUUGGAGUCUGAGAAAGAGCGAAUGCCUGGUAAGAGAAUAUUUUUCUGGACGUGAGAAGAGUAAUUCUUAAGUUGACGUUUUUCCUUAUCAAACUGUAGUAAACAUUUAAAUUGCUUUUUAUUUACUUUUGGUUGCUAGGAUGAAUUUAUUUAAAUAUGAAAAUGAGCUGAAAUGGGGUGUUAAGGUGGGAUCCAAAAGGUCUGUCUUUAUAAAGGCAGUUACAGGGAAUAUUUAACGAGAAGCAGAGAUCCUGGGUUAAGGUGAAAGAGAGUCGGAGUAUGUGAGUAUCCUGGAAAUAAAGGCUUACUGGGAUGAUCUAGUGAAUGUUAUUUUUGCCUUCCCAUUCGCCUUCUCAGAACAACAAUCUCCUUCUUGUAGGAAUUGCUCCUCUCCUGCUCCAUGCGGUUCUGGGGAGCUGCCAAUCACAGGACAUAGCCCUGUGGCCACAGGAAUGGGCACACAUUCCAGUAGGCCUGGUCAAUCAUAGUUGCCCAUUUCCAUGGCUUCAAAGAUGGGCACAUGACCCAGUUCAGGCCAGUCAGACUCCUUCCCUGAAAUUUUAUAUAACAAAAUGAUGGAAUAGAGAGGCUCUGGUGUGACUAAGCAGGGAUGAUGCUAGCCUGUCAUCUGGAUUCACGCUUCUUUUAUCAUUCCAUCCCUCAACCUGGCCACUAGGAAGAAGCCAAUCUGUAGAAAAGAAGGUGGACAUCAGUAGAAUCUGAGAUGGGAGAUGGAGGGAGAUGGUAAAACGUAGUCACACUGUCUAAGUUACUGGGCUCCCCAAGGCCAGCUUACCUCUGCACUUCUCCACUAUUUGAGCCAGACAUUCCAGUUUAGCUUAACUAAUUUUAGUUUCUGUCAUUUGUAACCAAAGGAGUCCCAAUGAUUUAUCCAGCAAUGUGCUGAGUGCCUUGAGGAGAGAAAGUGUAGAUGGCUGUCAUGAGGGAGAAAGGCCGUGAAGGUGGAGAGAGAACGUGUUACUGUAAACUUUCUCUUGAGCUCUAUUUGCUUGGAGCAGAACCUGAUGGGGACCUGAUGGUGUGAGGAGGGAGUGGGAGUCGUAAAGUGAGUGAGAAUUGAGAAAUUAAUUUCCUCUCUUUGCCUUGAAUCGGCUGCCCUUCUGAGGUGAUAAGGCAAGAUGAGCUGGGUUCCUUGGAUGAUUCUUGGGAGGAUCCAGUAAAAUGGCAUAUGUGGAAAAGCCACAAAUCAUUCUAUACACAUUAACUCUCAUGUCCAGUCAUCAAGGAAACGUGUUUCAUUCUGAGAUGAAGAUGGAUGCUCACUGUACAAAUAAAGCAUGUGAGAGGUAAACGGGCACUGUUGGAUACAUGCAUCGUUGGAAGAAAAUAAGACGGUGGCCAUGUCAUUCUGACCCGACUUUCCCUUCUUUGACUUGAUACUCCACCUUCAGAAACAGGGAAAGUCUCCAUGGCUCAGCUCUUCCAGCAACGCUGCUCACUGUGGUGAUAUCUAUGAGUUAACUUCACCAUCCUUGCAGCUGCCAUGUUGUGAGGACCUUCAAGCAACUCUGUGAAGAAUUGACAUGGUGAGGCUUCCUGCCAGCAGCUGGCACCACCUUGCCAGUCAUCUGAGUGAGCCAUCUUGGAAGUGGAUCCUCCAGCCUCAGUCAUGCCUUCAACUGACUCCAACCUCAUGAGGUGCCCUGAGCCAGAACCACACAGCUAAACUUCUCUUCAUUUCCUGACCUAUAGAAAGUACAAGAGAAAACAAAUUUUUGUUGUUUUAAGCUGAUGACUUUGUGGAUAACUUGUUCUGCAGCAAUAGAUAACUAAUGCGUAAUGUUUGAAAGGUAAUCCUAGGAAGUUAAACGAGGGAGUGAGGAAAAUGAGUCAAGGAAGAAGGUAAAGUCAAUAAAGGGUAUGUUAGUGUGGACAACUGGGCUCAAUCUCAUUGGAGAGAUAUUGAGGAUUGUUUAAGAUGUGCCUGAAAACUGAGGCACCAAGGCAUGGAGAAGCUUAUAUAUUUUCCCACCAGCUCUCAUGCCUCAUUGGAUGAAGGUUGCCCAUGGGGAUAUUAAAUCCUCAAUGCUUUCAGGCUUGCCCUUGGGAUAGGAAAGGAUCAGAGAAAAUUCUCAGAGAAGCAGAAAGCUACAGGUGGUUAAAAUGAGAGGCUGUCAGCAUGUAAAAGAACUGUCCACUGAGGCCACAGAUGUACUCGGGGUGGAUUGAGUAGAUUACGGGGUGGAUUAUAGAGUGGGACUUCAAUAGCGUCUGCCACAUAGCUUCACAGUCUUUUUCAUUGCCAUGCUUUGAGCAGCCACUCCCAAUCAAUUAGUGUUGGGAUUUGAGAUAAAAUCCAUCUGACUUCUCUAGUUUAGAAUAUACUCCCCACUCUUUGUUCUGUCCCCUCCACUCAACACCACUUUCCACCUGGUGAAUUCUUACUUAACUCUCAAAGGUCAAAGGCUACCUACCCAGUGACCCUUCACGAAUAAUGUCCCCUUUGCCUGGCUAAAUUAGCUUCCCUCUCUUUGCUGAUGUCUUGCUCUCAGUAGUCACACGGACUGAAAUCAUUUAUGUGUUUACCUCCCUGACUCGCCCGCUGGGGAACUUUUGCUCGUCUCUGUAUUCCUAACGUCUGGCACAUAUUAGGCCCUCAAAAAAUAUGAGCUAAAAGAACAAGACUUGAAGACUUGAGAUAAAGGUACAAGUCUCCUUGGUGUUCCACAGUAUUGCCCCUGAGUUCAUUCUCCCUGCAGAGGUACUCACAGACAUCUUUCACUGUGGGUAAAAGAAACAUGUUUACACACUUUUGCAUUACUUGGAUUACUCUGGAUAGAAGGAGUAAUCCAAGUGAGAAUAAAGAUUCUGCCAAACUGGUUUUGGGAAAAUAUAAUUUUAAGCCUCAGGCCACCCAAUACUUCAAUUUACUUACCAUGUGUAUUUUUUAACCUAUAUUCUACUGACUUGAUAAAGUUUUUUACUUUAAAAAAAUAGAUUCUCCAUAGCAAAGUCAUGGAAUGGUUAUGUUGCCAUGUUAAGUGUGGCAUGAGGUUUGGUUCUCAUUAUUAAACUUUGAAGGAUGAUGUGUAUAUGGGGGGGAAGGGGGGAAGUGACCAGCACUAUUUCAAAGCUGGCAUUGUUUCUAAAGGUCCCUGGAGAAUGUUACUAUCCCCAAACAUUAACAGAUGUCAGUCUCCUGUCCUGGUUUGACCCGAGGCCCUUACCCAUGGUUCGCUUGCGUAGCACUUUAGCCCGUGUGGAUUUCGGAUUUCGUCAUCUUUCCCUUCAGGGUAGGACAAGCAAAGAGAAGAGAAGUGAGUUUCAUUUUGGCUCAUUUUCUUUUGUUUUUAUCUCAUCAGAGCCACUCUGUGGCUUACACUUACAGGAUCUAAUAGUUGCUGGACCUGGAGAAUCCCUUCUUGUCGGAUGCCAAGAGUUAAAUGGAUUCAGUGCGUUUUCCAGGGGGCAUUAUGAAAGGUGCUAACAGAUGUCAAUUUCAGCUUUGUCAUUAAAGUGCUUCUCACACGCCACCUGAUGUCCUUGGGUUAGAGCUUUUCUUUCAGCCUUUUCUCAUUACGUUUUAGCUCUGUUUUGUGAAUAAACCUUUGAAGAAACUUGAGAGCUAUUUUGGAAACCCAAGGAGUAGAAGAGUUGAAAUGUCUAAGCUCUGAAACAUGCAUCUGACCUUAUUCUCCAUGCCCACGGUCCAGGGAAGGCAAAGGCAGAUGCUAAGUAUUUUUCUGUGCUCUGAAAAGAUGGUAUGCCUUAAAGAAAACAC
rnacentral:lncRNA from 1 species